AUUGAACGCUGGCGGCAUGCCUUACACAUGCAAGUCGAACGGCAGCACGGGAGCAAUCCUGGUGGCGAGUGGCGAACGGGUGAGUAAUAUAUCGGAACGCGCCCAGUAGUGGGGGAUAACUGCUCGAAAGAGCAGCUAAUACCGCAUACGACCUGAGGGUGAAAGGGGGGGAUCGCAAGACCUCUCGCUAUUGGAGCGGCCGAUAUCAGAUUAGCUAGUGGGUGGGGUAAAGGCCUGCCAAGGCAACGAUCUGUAGUUGGUCUGAGAGGACGACCAGCCACACUGGGAGUGAGACACGGCCCAGAGUCCGACGUGAGGCAGCAGUUGGGAAUUGUGGACAAUGUGCGCGAGCCUGAUCCAGCAAUGCCGCGUGCAGGAAGAAGGCCUUCGGGUUGUAAACUGCUUUUGUCAGGGAAGAAAUCCUCUAGGUUAAUACCCUUGGGGGGAUGACGGUACCUGAAGAAUAAGCACCGGCUAACUACGUGCCAGCCGCCGCGGUAAAAC
rnacentral:rRNA from 1 species